UUUCCGUAGGUGAACAUGCGGAAGGAUCAU
rnacentral:rRNA from 2 species